UACGUAGGGUGCAAGCGUUGUCCGGAAUUAUUGGGCGUAAAGAGCUCGUAGGCGGUUCGGUAAGUCAGGUGUGAAAUCUCCACGCUCAACGUGGAGGCGCCACCUGAAACUGCCGUGACUCGAGUCCGGUAGGGGAGUGUGGAAUUCCCGGUGUGAGCGGUGAAAUGCGCAGAUAUCAGGAGGAACACCGGUGGCGAAGGCGGGGUCUCUGGGCCGUAACUGACGCUGAGGAGCGAAAGCAUGGGGAGCAACAGG
rnacentral:rRNA from 1 species